rnacentral:lncRNA from 1 species
GGACACUGACAUCUGCGGCGCCGGCGGCGACGAAUUGAUGCUCCAGCUCUGCUGCAUCUGACGGCUCCGCCCAGACGAAGUAGUCCGCGACAUCCGCCGUCGCUGCCGGUGGUGCGUCGACGGUUCCCGAGCGGUCGUCGUCCUGGAGGUCGAUCCAGCCUUCCUCGGAGUCCCAGUCAGGCAGCGCGGAGGCGGCGCACGCCAAUGCGCCGAUCCUCUCGGCCGCGCCCGUCGACAUCUCGUCCGCUCCGUCGUCGUCCUCGGUGUCCGAGUCCCAGAACGCGUCGUGCAGCGUGCUCUUGGGGGACGGGAACAACGCCUGCUGCUUCGCCGGCUGCGCGUCCUGCAAGUCGCGGGCGGCGGCGGAGGAGGAAGCGACGAACGGGUGCGCCACGAGCUGGGCCGCCGUGGACCGGGCGCUGGCGUGCCUCUUGAAGCAGCCGGCCAGGAAGUCCUUGGCCUCCGCCGACAGCCACGCGGGCACCUCAGGCACGGCGUCCGUGUACCCGAUCCGGUGGAUCGCGGCGAGGAGGUCGUCCAUGUCGCUCCAGGGCGCGCGGCCCGUGGCCAUCUCGAUGACCAUGCACCCGAGCGCCCAGACGUCGGCGGCGGGUCCUUGCUCCUGCCCGCGCGCCACCUCGGGGGCCAUGAACGCCGGUGUGCCCCCGACGGGCCGCGUC